UCUCUUUCACUCUCUCUCUUCUAUAGGACUAAACCCUUUUCUUUCUCCCCCUUCUUUCCCUCAUUCAACACUCAUAUUCAUUCUAUGCUAAAAUUGGAACUGACCAUUCUAAAGAUCGGUUAAGCCAAGUAACAUCAAUAGGUGAAAGUAACGAGGAAUAGCCAUCAAGUCCUAUAAAUCUGCAGAACUGCAAUAACCCACUGGAAUUUCAAAAUCAAAACCUACCAUAGAGAAAGCAGCCAUUUCUAAUAUUACCUAACACCACUCUACAAAUCUGCUGCAAUUGAUUUUAACCAACCCCAUAUUACAAUUUCCCAAAUCAAACUUGGCCCAUAGAUUUUGGUAAUGUAAGUUCUCUGUUAUGUUACUCUUCACUUAACAUCUCUGACCAUUCUAGCAGUAAAAUCCACAAAACUAUGAAUGAGAAUAGGUCCAUUGGAUGCAAAUGGCAUAAUGAAGGAUCACUUCCUCAAGGUUCAAUAUGCUUUAAGAUGAAUUUUUGGUGCUGCCACGACAAACUAUGACUGCAACUAUAUAACCAUGCCUUAUAUCACUUCCAAUUCACUUGCCUCCCUUCUCGAAUUUGCUAUGAAAACUCUCUCCUCCAUCAUUGGACAAGCCUCCCAUGCCUAGACCAUCAAGAUCUUUCAAUCUCCAAUGCUUCUUUUUUUUAGCAACCACCUCAUCUACAUGUAUUCCAAACUCGGCCCACCUCACCUCCAACUCACCACAACUUGCUCUAUCGUCAAUUGGACUGCCCUCAUCUCGUCCGGACUGCCCUCAUGCGAUUGCAGUUAAGUUUGGGCAAAUUUAUGGUGUCUUUGUUGGGUGCAGUGUGUUAAACAGGGCUUACACAUCAAGCACAUGAACUAUUUGAUGAGCUGCAGGAGAGAAACGUCUUUAAGGGUAGAUUUGUUAUUUAGAACAAUUCUCUCGACAUUAACUAUAUUAAGUUGUAUUGACUAAUGGAAAAUGGUCAAAAUAUGACGAAAGUUCUUAUUAAUUGACGGAAGUAGAGUGCAGGUUAUUAAUUGACGGAAGUAGAGUGCAGGGACUUUUUAAUAUAAUUGUAAAAGUACAAGAAUAUUUUGAUUAAUUAGGUCAUAAUUUAGGGGCACGAGGGUAAUUCGCCCUUAAAAAAAAGGAAAAGGAAAAGGAAAAGAAAAAAAAAACAGAAACAAAGAGAAGAAGAAAAUGCUUCGGAAGAACCCAUUUUCUUUCGCUUUUCUUCUUUCCUUUGCCGAAGGAAAGAGGAGAAAACUUCUCCACCAAUUUCCACCUUUCCUUACACCAAAUUUCUCUUUUUCUCCUCUCAAAUAAAACUUCACUUCACCCAACCCCUUUUCCUAGGUAAACAUUCAAGAAAGCAGUAGAAAUUGAAGAAAAAUUUCAAGAUUAAAGAGGGAAUAGUGAAGUGUACAAAUUUUAAAGGUUAUAUUUCCAAGGAGUAAUAGAUCAAGAUCUGCAUUGACCCAACCAGAGUUACAAUAUUAUUAGUCAUCUUUGGAUAUAUUUUAUAAAUUUUGUUUAAGGUUGAUUUUGAAAAUAUGAUAUGUAUAUAAAGUUUUAGAAAUGAAGUUGUAUAUGAUUGUAAAUUAGAUGUAUUUGGAGAUUUUAAUUUUGAUGUAAAUACAUGGUUGUUAGUAUAA